AAGAAAGAAGAAAACAACAAUAGCAAAGUCUUUUUUUUUUUUCAUAUUUAUUUUAUUUGUUUAUUUUUA
rnacentral:ribozyme from 14 species